rnacentral:rRNA from 1 species
AUUGAACGCUGGCGGAAUGCUUUACACAUGCAAGUCGAACGGCAGCACGGGGCAACCUGGUGGCGAGUGGCGAACGGUGAGUAAUACAUCGGAACGUGCCCAAUCGUGGGGGAUAACGUAGCGAAAGUUACGCUAAUACCGCAUACGAUCUACGGAUGAAAGCGGGGGAUCGCAAGACCUCGCGCGAAUGGAGCGGCCGAUGUCAGAUUAGGUAGUUGGUGGGGUAAGGGCUCACCAAGCCGACGAUCUGUAGCUGGUCUGAGAGGACGACCAGCCACACUGGGACUGAGACACGGCCCAGACUCCUACGGGAGGCAGCAGUGGGGAAUUUUGGACAAUGGGCGCAAGCCUGAUCCAGCCAUUCCGCGUGCAGGAUGAAGGCCUUC